UACGAAGGGGGCUAGCGUUGCUCGGAAUCACUGGGCGUAAAGCGCACGUAGGCGGAUCUUUAAGUCAGGGGUAAAAUCCUGGAGCUCAACUCCAGAACUGCCUUUGAUACUGGGGAUCUCGAGUCCGGAAGAGGUGAGUGGAACUCCGAGUGUAGAGGUGAAAUUCGUAGAUAUUCGGAAGAACACCAGUGGCGAAGGCGGACUCACUGGUCCGGUACUGACGCUGAGGUGCGAAAGCGUGGGGAGCAAACAGG
rnacentral:rRNA from 1 species